rnacentral:misc_RNA from 1 species
GAUGAAGAACGUAGCGAAAUGCGAUAAGUAAUGUGAAUUGCAGAAUUCAGUGAAUCAUCGAAUCUUUGAACGCACAUUGCGCCCGCCAGUAUUCUGGCGGGCAUGCCUGUUCGAGCGUCAUUUCAACCCUCAAGCCCAGCUUGGUGUUGGGGAUCGGCACAGGCGCCCUCGGGCGCCCGCCGUCCCCUAAAUCUAGUGGCGGUCCCGCUGCAGCCUCCUCUGCGUAGUAGUUUUCUCCUCGCAAGGGCAGCUCGGUGGCGACCUCGCCGUAAAACCCCCAACUUCUGAAAGGUUGACCUCGAAUCAGGUAGGAAUACCCGCUGAACUUAAGCAUAUCAAUAAGCGGAGUA